rnacentral:pre_miRNA from 1 species
AUUAUACUCCCUCCGACCGAAAAUACUUGUCAUCAAAAUGGACAAAAAGGGAUGUAUCUAAAACUAAAAUACAUCUAGAUACAUCCCUUUUAUCCAUUUUGAUGACAAGUAUUUCCGGACGGAGGGAGUAUAUA